GUGGGGAAUAUUGCGCUAAUGCGCGAAAGCGUGACGCAGCGACACCGCGUGGGGGAUGAAGGCCCUCGGGUUGUAAACCCCUUUCGGCAGGGACGAAGCGAAAGUGACGGUACCUGCAGAAGAAGUCCCGGCUAACUACGUGCCAGCAGCCGCGGUAACACGUAGGGGACGAGCGUUGUCCGGAUUUAUUGGGCGUAAAGCGCGCGUAGGCGGUCGUGCAAGUCGGUUGUGAAAACCCGGGGCUCAACCCCGGGCCUGCGUCCGAUACUGCUCGACUCGAGGUAGGUAGGGGAGAUCGGAAUUCCUGGUGUAGCGGUGAAAUGCGCAGAUAUCAGGAGGAACACCGGUGGCGAAGGCGGAUCUCUGGGCCUUACCUGACGCUGAGGCGCGAAAGCUAGGGGAGCGAACAGGAUUAGAAACCCUAGUAGUCC
rnacentral:rRNA from 1 species